CAUGAGGAAUGGAUAAGGAACAAUGCAAGAGCAAAUGAAAGGAACAGGCGUAAUGACCGUCCUCGCAACUUCGAUAGAAGCAGAAACUUUGAGAGGAGAAGAGAGAACAUGUCAGGAGGCCCUCCUCCCCAACGUACUCCCAUGGGAGGCCCUCCUCCUCCACCUCACAUGGGUGGCGCUGCACCUCCUCCACCUCAAAUGGGGCAGAACUACGGGGGACCACCACCACCGCAGAACAACAUGGGAGGACAGAGGCCUCCACCAAACUAUGGAGGAGCACCACCACAGAACAACAUGGGAGGACAGAGGCCACCUGCAAGCUAUGGAGGAGCACCACCACCAAGCUAUGGAGGAGGACCACCACCUAAAUACGGAGGAGCGCCACCACAGAACAACAUGGGAGGAGCACCACCGCCACCUAACUAUGGAGGAGCAGUACCACCGCAGAACAGCAUGGGAGGAGGUCCACCAAACGCAGGAUGGUCAGGUAACAACAACAACUACCAGCAGCAGAGUGGUGGAAUGCAGCAGCCACAGUACCAGAACAACUAUCCACCAAACCGGGAUGGAAGCGGGAACCCUUACCAGGGUUGA
rnacentral:lncRNA from 1 species